UACGGAGGAUCCAAGCGUUAUCCGGAUUUAUUGGGUUUAAAGGGUGCGCAGGCGGAAUGAUUAGUCAGUGGUGAAAUCUCUCGGCUUAACCGAGAAACUGCCAUUGAUACUGUCAUUCUUGAGUAUAAUUGAUGUGGGCGGAAUGUGUCAUGUAGCGGUGAAAUGCUUAGAUAUGACACAGAACACCGAUCGCGAAGGCAGCUCACAAAGCUAUAACUGACGCUCAGGCACGAAAGCGUGGGGAUCAAACAGG
rnacentral:rRNA from 1 species